rnacentral:rRNA from 1 species
UACAGAGGAGCCAAGCGUUGUCCGGAUUGACUGGGCGUAAAGCGCACGCAGGCGGAUGUGCGCGUGGGGUGUGAAAUCUGGCCGCUUAACGGCCAGGCGCCAUCCCAUACGGCGCGUCUGGAGUGAUGCAGAGGUCGAUGGAAUUGCCGGUGUAGUGGUGAAAUGCGUAGAGAUCCGGAGGAACACCGGUGGCGAAGGCGGCCCGCUGGGCAGUGGCUGACGCUGAGGCGCGACAGCGUGGGGAGCAAACAGG